AAUAAUUUUGUUAAUCUUGUAGUGCUUUAGUUUACCUAAAAGGAUGCAGCGUUCUUCGGUAUCAAAUGCUUUUGAUGUCAAUAAAAUAUUCUAGAGUUUUUUUUGUUUAAAACCAUGUUUUAAUUUUUUGUUUAAAACCAUGAGUUAUUUAUUUCAGUCAGUUGAAAGGUCCUUUUGAAAUCAAAAUUGAUUUGUGUAAAACGAUUUAUUAUUGAGAAGUUAUGAAUGAUUCCAUUAUAAAUCAAGGUUUGUCCAAAUUACUAUUACAUUUGAACUUAUUGAGAGCUUUAGUAUAAAGAUUAGAGUCUGCUUAGACUGAUUUUGUUCGAAAUAGCUAUACCAUUAAAUAUUUAAUCAAAUCCUUGAGUCUUAAUAAUAAUAUAAUAAUAUGCAAUACUGUUUAGAUUUAACGCCAUGUUGAAUCUUUUACAGACAUAACAAGAAAGUUAAAUAUACUCGAUUAAGUCUCAAUUAAGUCUAGUUUAGCUUUAAACAAGUUGGAUUUUUAACUUCCACUGUUUCAAUUGGGAGGUUGUGCUGAAUUUGACUGUGCGAUUUGUAAAAAAAACCCUCACAAUUUUGAUUUAAAUAUAUCCUAUCGUUGAAUAAACGAUGUUUGCUACCUCGAAUAUUUGGGGGUAGCCCCGAAGUAGUUGAGGAGCGGUAAUAUUUGGGGAGUAUUUUCCAAGUAAUUUUUUUUAUUUCAUAAUACCAUUUGUACAUUUGUAUGAGAUCUCCAUGAAUUCUUCGUUGUUUUAAAGAUGUCAUUUUCAUUUUUUCUAGUCUUUUAUUGUAUGAGAGACAGCUCAGGUAUAGGUUUCGUUACUCGUUUUUGAAUUUUAAUAUGUUUAUAUCUUUUUCAAGAUAAGGACUCCAUACCUGUAUUGCAAAUUAAUACUUAAAAGAUUUGCAUAUUAUACCAAAUUUAUAGUUUAAAACAAGGUGAAGUUAUCUGGGAACUUAAAAAAUUGAAAAAGUCAUUCCAGUUUUAAAAUCACGAGAUCCUUUAGAUGUUUCUUAUUAUAGAACAAUCUCAACUUUUUCUUGCUUUUCUAAAAUAUUUAAAAUAUUAGAGCGAAUUAUGUCAAAAAGACGAUUUUUCUUUAACUGUUAGUAAUAUACCAUAAACAGUUUAGAUUAAAAUCUGCCAUUUCAAUGAUUCUGAAAUCACUCACCUUGUUCUUGAUAUAUUUAAAGCGUUUGAUGAAAUCAAGUAUAUCCUAGGUGUAUUCAUUGAUUUAAGUAGAAGCUUUUGACACAGUCAAUAACCAAGUAAUUCUAUCCAAGCUCAAAAGUUAUGGUUUUGUAGAUUAUCAGAUAAUAUCAAUCAGAUUUCUGCUGAAAAUGAAUUUAAUUCUGAAGUAAAAAAAAGUACCGAUUAUGCAAUUUUUAAUUUAACUACCAAAUCACCUAUUGAUAUAGUAGAAAGAUAAAAUGGACCUAAUGAUUUAGUCAAAGAGGGUAUAAACAGUGUUUCUCUUGUUUCAACGACUGAAAUUUUUGUUUUGAUCCUUUCAACUUCUUUGCUACACAGAUUGUCUGAUGUAGCAAUAGAAGAUUUACUAAAAUUUUUACUCCUAGUUCAAAUCAAUAUUCAAACUUAUUAAAUUAUUCAAUUGAAUUAGAAGAUACACAUAACAUUAACCUAACUAACUUUAUCAUCUUUUCAGAAGUGGUAGACAUCCAGUAAAUCAUUCGAGUUUGGUAGAGUAACUUCUGAAACUCUAAACUCUUCAGAUAUGUCUGAUCAACUUAAUAAUUUAUUUAGCAUAACAAGUAAUGUCUUUAGAGACUUAUUUCUAAAUCGAAUCUUACUAAAACUGUUAGUUCAUCCAUUUCAAUCUGGAAAGAAUCUAGCUAUCCAGACGGAACUUGUAGAAAACAAUUAGUGUCAUUGGUGGGAAACGAUUUGAGCCGUGCCAAUUUAUCUGGAAAGCGAGCUUGUGUCUGUCAGUUAAUGGAGUGUCGUCAAAGGAUGUGCAAUCAGCAGUCAAUAUUAAAUUAAACAAUGCAUCAAAAGUUUUAAAAAGAUUUAAAACAUGAAAGUGUUUUUCUGUUACUUUUGAUUACUUAUAAGUAAUCAAAAAAGACAGAAAUGCACUUUCAUAUUUUAAAUUUUUUUAAUUUUUGGUACAUUGUUCAAUUUAAUAUUGAUAUCAAUAACAAAAUAAUAUAACAGAUAAAAAGGAGGAAAGAAAAAGGAGAGAAGUUAAUAACUUGGAAAGAAGAGUUGAAGAAGUAGAAUUCCUAGAAGAGUUUUUUUAUGCAUUAAAAUUUUUAAACAUAA